UGUUAUUUUCCCUCAGGAUCUAGGCGUUUUCGCACACCUCAGCGUGGAGUUCAAAUGCCAUCACAGUCCGGGAGCAGAAGCUUAUUCCCCAUGUCUCAAGCUAGUACGUCCAUGGUCAAUAUUUAUUAUUGUAUCAUUCUUUAAUAAUCAUAAGGUAAGAUUUAUAAAGUACGUGACACAAAAAUAAAUGAAUGUAUUUUCUUCCACAGAAUACCAGAAGUGCUUGGAAAGCUUGUUGAACUUCUAGAUGAGAUAAAAAGAGUCGGGAGGCACUAUGAGCCCUUGAAUUCUGCUGUCUAUGUUGCUAGGCUAGAAACCGAAGAAGAGUUUGCUCAAGAAGAGGCACGUCUGUCCUCUGGGAACAAAGGGUGUCCCAGCUCUCAAAGGUGGGAGGGAGGAACAAUAAAGACUGUGUCCAUAAAGUGAUGGACAGGCUCUUCACCAAGAGCCUAAUGGCUUCUUUCAACGUGAAGGGUCG